rnacentral:rRNA from 1 species
UACGGAGGGUGCAAGCGUUAUCCGGAUUCACUGGGUUUAAAGGGUGCGCAGGCGGAUAUGUAAGUCAGUGGUGAAAUCUCUAGGCUUAACCUGGAAAUUGCCGUUGAUACUAUAUAUCUUGAAUGCUGUGGAGGUAAGCGGAAUAUGUCAUGUAGCGGUGAAAUGCUUAGAUAUGACAUAGAACACCUAUUGCGAAGGCAGCUUACUACGCAGAUAUUGACGCUCAUGCACGAAAGCGUGGGGAUCAAACAGG